UGUGCCUACUGAGCUGAUAU
rnacentral:miRNA from 1 species